ensembl:ncRNA C10G11.15 ncRNA
CGCGCACACACAGUUAGUUACAUUACAACACCAUUCUACGGGGUCUGCAGCAAUACGAGCGUCGGAACGAGGAAAGAUUGGCACAGCUGCCCUUUUACAGAGUGCCGACGCACAUCGCCAAUCUCGCCGGCGCGAUCAAACAAAAAACCUUGCAAAUACCAAUGAGCGAUACAUUGCAAAUGUUGAUGAAUAGACUUAAUGAACUUGUGAAG